UUCAAUUUACAGCUCCACCAUCACUUAAAAGGGUUGUACCAUAAACUACAUUUCACUGUAAACAUUAUUUUCUGAGAAGGCCCACCAUUGUGCACUCGCAGGAGCAGGAUCUGACAAAACUUCAAGCUCUUCAAAACAGUGCCACGGGAUUCAAGACCUAAAACGUUCUUCACCUUCUUCUUCUGAUGGAAUUACAUUCACUAUGUGAAAGAAGGCAGUAAGAUAAUAUUUUCAUGUAAAGCGUUUGUCUUUAACGUUGUCCCGAGAAGGUGUCUACAUUGGCCUGAGAGAAAAGACCCAGGACCCUGAAAACCCCCAAUAAGAUCCAAGGGGUGGAGCGCCAAGACAACUGAAACCACCAUGACAUUGCUGGACAAUGAUCUUCUGUAUCAAGAGGCAAAUUCCAGGCUUGGUCUCUGUCCUCAAUACUGGAUGUGACAUUUUACCGGACUUUCCUAAUACCGGAUUUGACAUUUACCGGAUUUUCUGGAUUCAACAUCUAGCAGACUUUCCGAAUACUGGAUGUGACAAUU